UGACUGUGGGCCUGGGGCAGUGCAGGAGCCGUAUAAAUGUAGGUCCUUCUCCUCACUCUCUUAUCCACUCCUCUUGCCUCCAUCACUUGGGGAACAAGGUGCAGCUUCAGCCACAAGACAUGUCCUGCUACAACUCGUGCCUGCCCUGCCAGCCCUGCGGCCCGACCCCGCUGGCCAACAGCUGCAAUGAGCCCUGUGUCAGGCAGUGCCAGGACUCCAGGGUUGUCAUUGAGGCCCCAGCUGUGGUGGUGACCCUGCCCGGCCCCAUCCUCAGCUCCUUCCCGCAGAACACCGCCGUGGGCUCCUCCACCUCUGCUGCCGUUGGCAGCAUCCUCAGCUCUCAGGGAGUGCCCAUCAACUCCAGGGGCUUUGGUCUCUCUGGCUUGGGCAGCAGCAUCUGCGGCACAAGGAGGUGUUUCCCCUGCUAAAGCUGCUGGUGAUGGCCCUGCGGAAGGCCCCCAGGGACAUACAAGAUGGGACUGGACUGGGGAUGGGUGAUCAGGCUGUUGUUUUCAGAGGGGCUGAGCAACCCCAGCACCCCUUGCAAAAGGACGGCGCCAGCCUGGGCUCUCAGAAAGCACGGCCCAUGCCGCCUUUCCCCUCUUCCAGUGUCUCCUGUUCCUCUUGUGUCCUUGUUUUAUUGUGCUCCCCUGGGCUGUGAGUCCCACAAAGCCAGCCUAGGGAGGAGCUGCUGGCCCUGCUUCCCCUGUGGGGCAGGCAGAUAGAUAUCUGACUGAUCUCUUCCACAGACAUGGGUCAAAGACUCUUGUCUGCCUGCGACACUUCCUGCUCCAGGAUUUCUACUAAGAGUGGCCUGUUUCCCUCUUUUUCAUCAAUAAAGUUUUGCUGAUGCAUCCCAGACAA